CUACCUGAUUCAGCGGCGGACGGGUGAGUAAUGCCUAGGAAUCUGCCCGAUAGUGGGGGACAACGUUUCGAAAGGAACGCUAAUACCGCAUACGUCCUACGGGAGAAAGUGGGGGAUCUUCGGACCUCACGCUAUCGGAUGAGCCUAGGUCGGAUUAGCUAGUUGGUGAGGUAAUGGCUCACCAAGGCGACGAUCCGUAACUGGUCUGAGAGGAUGAUCAAUCACACUGGAACUGAGACACGGUCCAGACUCCUACGGGAGGCAGCAGUGGGGAAUAUUGGACAAUGGGCGAAAGCCUGAUCCAGCCAUGCCGCGUGUGUGAAGAAGGUCUUCGGAUUGUAAAGCACUUUAAGUUGGGAGGAAGGGCAGUAAGCUAAUACCUUGCUGUUUUGACGUUACCAACAGAAUAAGCACCGGCUAACUUCGUGCCAGCAGCCGCGGUAAUACGAAGGGUGCAAGCGUUAAUCGGAAUUACUGGGCGUAAAGCGCGCGUAGGUGGUUCAGCAAGUUGGAUGUGAAAUCCCCGGGCUCAACCUGGGAACUGCAUCCAAAACUACUGAGCUAGAGUACGGUAGAGGGUGGUGGAAUUUCCUGUGUAGC
rnacentral:rRNA from 1 species